UGGAAAAAAAGCAAAAUAGAUCUGAAUAUGUGUUUAAAAACAUACAAUCUAUUUAUAUUUUAAAGAUACAACUUUUCCUCACUUAAAAAUAUGCCCGAGGAUAAUUGUCAGCAAAAUUAUAACUUCCAUCCGUUGAGUCUUGUUUAAAAAUGAAUGCCCUAGAGGUUAAAAAUGAAUGCCCUAGAGGUUAAAAAUGAAUGCCCUAGAGGUUAAAAAUGUGCAUGAACAGGCUUAAACAAUACAAAGUAUAAACCAGGUGUUAAGAAAAAAAAUCAAAAUGCACAUUUAAGUUACACAGGAGACAAUUAUAAUAUCACUCAGGGCUUGAAGAACUUAUUAUGUGAAUAGGGAUUAUUCCAAUCGCAGGGAAAGAUUAAAAGAGACAGUAAUCUACAUUUUCGCUUAUUUUAAAGUACUUUCUUUUCCCUUGCAGCUUUGAUCAAAAUUACAAUGGUAUGAGUACCAACAUUUCAUAAAAGUUGAUUGCAGCAAUUGAAAGCCUAAACUCACACGACAUUCUGUUUUGAAUUUGAAAAGUUGCUUAAGACAUUAAAAUUAACAGUCACGGAGAUAAAGGGUCAUAGACACCAGAUAAUCUGCAGAUGCUGGAAAUCCAAAGCAACACACAGAAGAGAAGAUGGAGGGAUUUCCCGGUGGCCAUCUAUUUCAAUUCUACUUCCCAUUCCGACAUGUCAAUACAUGGAUGAAGACACACUCAGCUGCAAGUUCCCAUCUGAUUCAAAAGAGCAACAAUCAACCAAGAGCUGGGUGAGCUACCUUAACGACCAUCGUCCAGUGGCACUCACGUCUAUGGUGAUGAAGUGCUUUGAGAGAUUGAUUGAGGCUAGAAUCAACUCCUGCCUCAGCAAGGACCUAGACUCAACUGCAAUUUGCCUACUGCCAUAAUAGGUCUACAGAUGUGAUCUCAUUGGCUGAACUAGACAAUACUAACACCUACGUCGGGCUGCUGUUUAUUGACUACAGUUCAGCAUUUAACAAUUAUUCCUACCGAUCUGAUCAAAAAGUUCUAAAACCUGGGCCUCUAUACCUCCCUCUGCAACUCAAUCCUCAACUUCCUCACCGGAAGACUGCAGUCUGUGCAGAUUGGAAAUAACAUCUCCAUCUCACUGAUAAUUGAUACAGGCACAGCACAAGAACGUGCUUUACUCUCUGGAGGCAUAGCUCAAAUGUAAUUUACAAACUUGCUGGCUUGCACUCAACGUCAGUUGGACCAAAGAGCUGAUUGUGAACUUCAGAAAUGGUAAGACAAGGGAACACACACCAGUCUUUAUAGACGGAUCAGAAAUGGAAAGAGUGAUCAAAGUUCCUGGGAUCAACAUCUCUGAGGAUCUAUCUUGGGCCCAACAUAUUAUUGUAGUUGAUGGCACAAUACUGGCUAUACGUCAUUACAAUUUUGAGAAAAUUUGAUACGUCAGCAAAGAUACUCACUAAUUUCUACAGGAGAGCAUUCUAACUAUAAUAAGUAAUAAAUUAAUUAUGCUGAGUAAAUGAAUUAUAAAUACCAUUUAAGUGUAUUAACAACCCUUUAAGAUCAUAUUUCUGUGUUUGGUAUAGAACUUUCAGCAGUUCUUGAUAUAUUUGCAGGUACAGCCAUGCCAUGGGUAUAAUUGUAGAUUGUAAAGGGAUGUGCAUUCAUAAAGAUGGGCAAUCAAAAGUAAA